AGAAUAGCAAGGACCUUAUCCUGGAGCACUUGUGAAGACAAAAUGUUGGAGCACUAGACGGUAACUUAGAUAGAAAUACUAAAAGACCGCUGUAGCUUUGGAGAUGUGCUGAAACGGCAAAGUUACACUAGGAGUCGCUUAAUGCCUGCAUUUAUAACAUUGGAAGUUCAUGCAUUAUGAAUUAUUUCAUUGCAAGUUAAUCGAACAGUAGAUCAGGCAUAUGAGUCCACUAUUAAACAAACUUAAAGCUGAUCUUAGGAAUUAAUCUUAUCACUGUACAUCCGGCAUAUCACAAUCACAUCACAUUGCCCAUAAGAAACAUGCUCAUUUUAUAACCUCAAAUAAAUAACAUAACCUCAAAGAUUGAGCAAAGAGCAAUGAUGUAAACAAACUCAUCUGUAUGACGGAUCCGGUCAAAUUUUAGUAAUUUCUCUAAGAUAUAAAUUGAAGAAAGUUUUUCAAGUAUAAUCGUGUUAACUUGGACGAGUAAAUACAUCGAUCAUCUUAUUUUAUGGGACUUUUAUUCAACUUCACGUUCACAUUUGGUGAUUCUCCAGUUUCAACCCUCUGCUCUUCCUGUGAUUUUCAGUCGCCUUACAUACACGAUGGACCAAAAGUCGUUUUCAGACUGGGUGAAGAAACAGCUGUCAACGCUGUUAGGAUUUCAAGUUCCUGAUGAAAUGAUUCAAAUGAUACUGAAUCAUCAAAAGAAAGAAGAAUUAGAAAGGAUUUGUGCUCUCUCUUGGAUGUUGGGAAUGAAGCUCAUUUUAAGUUCAUGAGAGAACUCAUAUCAAAAAAAGAGAGAUGUAAGUACAUACUUUGAUAAUUCAAGCUCAGCCAUGCUAUUUUGUAAAUCUCACAAUUCAACGGUGUACCUAAGUCGGCAAUUACAUAACUCGGUUUGUGUUGUUGCAGACUUCCUGACAUACUUAUUUUUUUAAUGGAAAACUACUCAAUGGCAAUUCUUUAAAACUGUCGUGGUUUUUUUUCUCUGUGUGAAGAAAAUUCUGCAAAAACUUCAAGGAAUGAUGUCAAUUUGUUCUCCUUUAAAAAAUUAACAUAGUGGCGGAGACUUUCAGACAUCACAAACGAGAUAUGUGAUUGCAGACUUACGCCGUUGAAUUGUUUUAUACACCGUAUACAAGGCGGAUAAAGAAAGGUGGUCGCAUUUCUAGUUUAGCCGCCAUUUUAAAGGCUGUGACGCGCAGAGGGUACAUGCUUUGCCAUGCAAUCAGGAUAUACCCAAAACUUACCUGAUACCGUGUGACGUCAAGAGGGUAAGAAAUAGGUCCACCAUUCUUUAUCCGCCUUGCAACAUACAUAUACUUAGGUCCCUGAGUCUUUUUCGAAAUUUUCUUAACCAUUGUAAGUAAAAUAUUA
rnacentral:lncRNA from 1 species